GACGUAGGGUGCGAGCGUUGUCCGGAUUUAUUGGGCGUAAAGAGCUCGUAGGCGGCUUGUUGCGUCAGCUGUGAAAACCCGCAGCUCAACUGUGGGCUUGCAGCUGAUACGGGCAGGCUUGAGUUCGGUAGGGGAGACUGGAAUUCCUGGUGUAGCGGUGAAAUGCGUAGAUAUCAGGAGGAACACCGGUGGCGAAGGCGGCCCUCUGGACGGUGACUGACGCUGAGACGCGAAAGCGUGGGGAGCAAACAGG
rnacentral:rRNA from 1 species